GGCAGCCAGAGGCAGGAGGGUCCCGGCUUCUACCAGGGGCUUCGGUCUCACGGACUGUCGCAUUUGCAUUUAAUCACUGAGUCUCACCCAGACUGAAGUGCAGUGGCACAAUCUCGGCUCACUCACCGCAGCCUCUGCCUUCCCGGUCCAAGCAAUUCUCCUGCCUCAGCCUCCCAAGUGGCUGGGAUUACAGCUGGUGAUUAAUCCUCCCAAGAAUGCCUCCUGUCACAUUUGAUCCCUGCGGUGGAAAAGUUAAAUAUUAAAUUUGAACUCAAUUGAACGUGGACAGAAACAAUGGUCACCAAGUCCCAGAACAGGUUGUGUGAGCCCCUUGAGGUGUUCGUCCAGCACUGUUUUGGAGAAAUCUCUAUUUCAAUCUAUUCCUACACGUUAGUUAUUGAAAAACAAUAGACAAUUGCAAAAAUAAGUUGAAUGUUUUGUGUUCCUUGAGCCCAGUCGCCAAGGGCCCCGUGACUGGGCCUCAUGCCAAACAACUCGUUACAAAAAGAGCUAGGGUCCCAGACUGCGCCAAAACUUCAUGAGACCUCUCCUCGUCUGUGCAUGGAUGAGUGGCCAACUCUGGAGCCCAGGCUGUUGCUUCUCAGUCUGGUGGUGAAUCCUCUAUAGUCUUAUGAGUGCGGUGUUCAACUCUGGAACCCAGGCUGUUGCUUUCCAGUCUGGUGGUAAAUCCUCCAUAGUCUGGUGAAUGUAAACAUCUUUUCCCUUCUCCCCUUCCCAUUGCAAUUUGCUUAUUAUAUCAAUCUGUUUAUUAUAUCAUUUGCUUACUUAUUAUAUAAUUUGCUUAUUAUAUUAAUUUGCUUGUACCAUUUGCUUAUUAUAUCUCCAUUGCCAUUUACAUGGGAUAAAGCUUGUUUACCCUUAAA
rnacentral:lncRNA from 1 species